rnacentral:rRNA from 1 species
CCUACGGGUGGCAGCAGUGAGGAAUAUUGGUCAAUGGGCUUACGCCUGAACCAGCCAAGUCGCGUGAGGGAAGACUGCCCUAUGGGUUGUAAACCUCUUUUGUCAGGGAGCAACGCCGGCUACGUGUAGCCGGACUGAGAGUACCUGAAGAAAAAGCAUCGGCUAACUCCGUGCCAGCAGCCGCGGUAAUACGGAGGAUGCGAGCGUUAUCCGGAUUUAUUGGGUUUAAAGGGAGCGUAGGCCGGCUUUUAAGUCAGCUGUGAAAGUCCGCGGCUCAACCGUGGAAUUGCAGUUGAAACUGGAGGCCUUGAGUGCACACAGGGAUGCCGGAAUUCAUGGUGUAGCGGUGAAAUGCUUAGAUAUCAUGAAGAACUCCGAUCGCGAAGGCAAGUGUCCGGGGUGCAACUGACGCUGAGGCUCGAAAGUGCGGGUAUCAAACAGGAUUAGAUACCCUAGUAGUC